AAAAAAAAUCUUGAUUUUCCAUUUUUACAUUUGCUCCACUUUUAUUUAUCUCUUGGACAAAACCGCAGAACGUGAAGAAAUUAUACAAAGUAGAGGGAUGAAGAGUGCGAUUUGUGGGAGCAUGGGCCUCUCUCUCAACCACCUUUUCAUAUCAG